UACGGGGGGAGCAAGCGUUGUUCGGAUUUACUGGGCGUAAAGGGCGCGUAGGCGGCCAGCACAAGUCAGUUGUGAAAUCUCCGAGCUUAACUCGGAAAGGUCAACUGAUACUGUGCGGCUAGAGUGCAGAAGGGGCAACUGGAAUUCUUGGUGUAGCGGUGAAAUGCGUAGAUAUCUGGAGGAACACCGGUGGCGAAGGCGGCCACCUGGACGGAUACUGACGCUGAGACGCGAAAGCGUGGGGAGCAAACAGG
rnacentral:rRNA from 1 species